CUCAGGUGGAUCUGCACAUGCCCCAGCAGACACGUGCACCCGUCCCUCCUGCCUGCACUGGGGUUUGUUUUGCCAUCUACGUGCAAAAUCACCAGCAGAAAUUCUGUGAUCUGGAGCGAUUUGGUCCGAUGCUUCAAGAACAGACCGCUCUGCACACCUUAGGAAGUGCAAAAAGGAAAAAGAAAAGAUAGAACCCCAAUCGCUCCAUCACAUCAAAGCCGGCUGCCUCCCGCGCAGACAGGAGGACGCGACAGAAUUCACAGUGAAGUUGCUGGUAAAAUGGCCCCGUUUGUGCUGAAUACUGGGUUUAAUGCACUGAAACUACUUCCACUGGCACGUGGGGCUGGUCAUGUGCUUUUGACACGAAAACUGUAACUUUGGUGUGAUAAUUUAAUCUCUCGUGUUGUGAAACACAUCUCACAGCAUAGCUUUUCCCCCAACUCUUUCUGUUUUGUCAAAGCAAAGUAAGUUUGUGCUAUUAUCGGCUUUCCUUGCCUCGUUUUUCUUUU